rnacentral:rRNA from 1 species
CCUACGGGUGGCAGCAGUGAGGAAUAUUGGUCAAUGGACGCGAGCCUGAACCAGCCAUGUAGCGUGAAGGAUGACUGCCCUACGGGUUGUAAACUUCUUUUAUAAAGGGAUAAAGUGAGGUACGUGUGCCUUUUUGUAUGUACCUUAUGAAUAAGGAUCGGCUAACUCCGUGCCAGCAGCCGCGGUAAUACGGAGGAUCCGAGCGUUAUCCGGAUUUAUUGGGUUUAAAGGGCGCGUAGAUGGGUUGUUAAGUCAGUGGUGAAAGUUUGGGGCUCAACCGUAAAAUUGCAAUUGAUACUGUCAGUCUUGAGCACAGUUGAGGUAGGCGGAAUGCGUGGUGUAGCGGUGAAAUGCUUAGAUAUCACGAAGAACUCCGAUUGCGAAGGCAGCUUACUAAACUGCCACUGACAUUGAGGCUCGAAAGUGUGGGUAGCAAACAGGAGUAGAUACCCCUGUAGUC